GAGUUUACAACUCCCAACCCGUGUGAACAUACCCAAGUUGCUUCGGCGGCUGCCCCGGCGCACCCGUGCCCGGAACCAGGCGACCGCCGGAGACCUAUAACCACUGUUUCAGUCCACUGUAUAUCUUCUGAGUCAAAAAACAAAUAAAUCAAAACUUUCAACAACGGAUCUCUUGGUUCU
rnacentral:misc_RNA from 1 species